rnacentral:rRNA from 1 species
GACGAACGCUGGCGGCGUGCCUAAUACAUGCAAGUCGAGCGGAAGUUGAAGAGCUUGCUCUUCAACUUUAGCGGCGGACGGGUGAGUAACACGUGGCAACCUGCCCUGCAGAUCGGGAUAACUCCGGGAAACCGGUGCUAAUACCGAAUAGUUUUCGCCACCUCCUGGUGGCGUACGGAAAGACGGUUUCGGCUGUCAUUGCAGGAUGGGCCCGCGGCGCAUUAGCUAGUUGGUGGGGUAACGGCCCACCAAGGCGACGAUGCGUAGCCGACCUGAGAGGGUGAUCGGCCACACUGGGACUGAGACACGGCCCAGACUCCUACGGGAGGCAGCAGUAGGGAAUCUUCCGCAAUGGACGAAAGUCUGACGGAGCAACGCCGCGUGAGUGACGAAGGUUUUCGGAUCGUAAAACUCUGUUGUGAGGGAAGAACAAGUACCAACUAACUACUGGUACCUUGACGGUACCUCACCAGAAAGCCACGGCUAACUACGUGCCAGCCGCCGCGGUAAAAC